rnacentral:rRNA from 1 species
UACGUGAGGGGCGAACGUUGUUCGGUGUCACUGGGCGUAAAGGGCGCGUAGGCGGCUCGGUAAGCGUGCGGUGAAAGCCCGGGGCUCAACCCCGGGUCGGCCGUGCGAACUGCGGAGCUGGAGCACUGUAGAGGCAGGUGGAAUUCCGGGUGUAGCGGUGGAAUGCGUAGAGAUCCGGAAGAACACCGGUGGCGAAGGCGGUUAGCUGGGCAGUUGCUGACACUGAGGCGCGACAGCGUGGGGAGCAAACAGG